AGAAUUACUGUCACAAGGCCGCCGACACUCCGGCUCCGACAGAAGGAGACAACAGGCUUUGUUAUAAAAGGAACCUCCAAGGGCAGCACUCUCCAGGCACAGUGACAGGAUUGAGACAGCUGUGGCCGCAGGCAGCUGCCACACAGCGGGCCUCUCCACUCACACACUGGCAGAAGCUACUGCAAGGGUCAUCUAACCUUCACAGACAGGGCAGCACUCUCCGUCAGGGACGUAGUAGCGUUCGCAGUGGAGGACGCCGCACUGGGCUGUAAAGCACACGGACACCCCACCCUGACAGCGGCAGAAGCGAC